rnacentral:tRNA from 1 species
GGUUAGAUGGUGUAGUGGUCACACCUCCCAGCACAUAUGGGAUGACCCAGGUUCAAUCCCCAGUCUGGCCA